CCCCUCUUGGGGUCGCACCUGGAGAGUUUCCAGUACUCUUCCAGUCUCAACUAUGGGAGGGAGAGUCAAGCAGAGGCAUACAUCUUCCAUUUCUAGCUGGGGCAGUGGCUAGCGAGUGGAAGGCAAUCUGCUACAAGU